rnacentral:rRNA from 1 species
AUACGUAGGGGGCGAGCGUUAUCCGGAAUUAUUGGGCGUAAAGGGUACGUAGGUGGUCCAGGAAGCGUGUGGUGAAAUUACGGGGCUUAACCCCGUCCAGCCAUGCGAACUUUUGGACUUGAGUACAGGAGAGGGAAGUGGAAUUCCUAGUGUAGCGGUGAAAUGCGUAGAUAUUAGGAGGAACAUCAGUGGCGAAGGCGACUUCCUGGACUGUAACUGACACUGAGGUACGAAAGCGUGGGUAGCAAACAGGAUUAGAUACCCUGGUAGUCCACGCUGUAAACGAUGAGCACUAGGUGUCGGGGUCGCAAGGCUUCGGUGCCGGAGUUAACGCAUUAAGUGCUCCGCCUGGGGAGUACGUGCGCAAGCAUGAA